rnacentral:rRNA from 1 species
AUACGUAGGUGGCGAGCGUUGUCCGGAAUUAUUGGGCGUAAAGGGCGUGUAGGCGGCUAUUUAAGUCAGAUGUGAAAAUCCAAGGCUUAACCAUGGAACUGCAUUUGAAACUGGAUGGCUUGAGGAUCGGAGAGGGCAGUGGAAUUCCCAGUGUAGCGGUGAAAUGCGUAGAUAUUGGGAGGAACACCAGUGGCGAAGGCGACUGCCUGGACGACACCUGACGCUGAGGCGCGAAAGCUAGGGGAGCAAACGGGAUUAGAUACCCCGGUAGUCCUAGCCGUAAACGAUGGGUACUAGGUGUGGGAGGUAUCGACCCCUUCCGUGCCGCAGUUAACACAAUAAGUACCCCGCCUGGGGAGUACGGCCGCAAGGUUGAA